UGACGUCAUAACUCAGUUGAACGCGCAUUCCUUUUGCAUUCUGACAAGUGAGAUUCAACUGAGUUUUUACCUAUAAUCUGCACAAGAUCGAGACUAUGUGCCUUAUUAGCGAGACC